rnacentral:ribozyme from 1 species
UGCCCAGCAACUCCUAUCCCUACCUCUUCGCGGUACCGGCCGGAACCUUAGGGAAGAUCGGGUAACCAACCCCGGUGGGAACUUUGGUCGUAGGCUGACAGGGAAGG